AUAUGCUUGUCCCGAAGCUUAAGCCAUGCAAGUCUAAGAAUGAGGGAUCUCUCGAAUCUGCGAAAGGCUCCGUAUAUCUGUUCUAACCCGCCGCCCGCCAUAGAGACUAUUAGGCGGAUACCCCCGGUAAUUCUGAGGUUAAUACGUGAUGCGCCAGGCGCGCCCCCCGGGACUGGGGCCGCCCCAGGCUAGGACGAUGCGACGCCAGGGCAGUGCUCAAACUGCGGCCAUGGAUGCCGGGCUCUCGCGGGCGGGAUGCGAGUCGCGCACUUUGAUGCCGGCGAGCUCCCCCAGCGACCUCCCUGGGCGAAAGCGUGAGCGAGUCCUUCAGUUACUGGACCGCCCCGAGAAGGGGCGGCUGGGCGGCGGGGGCCAGACCUAUCAACUAGACGGCCAGGGAUUGCCUGGCCGUGGUGAUAACGGGUACAGAGGAUCAGGGUUCGAUCCUGGAGAGGUAGCCUGAGAGAUCGCUACUACUUCUAAGGAAGGCAGCAGGCGCGCAACGUUCCCAAUGGGGAUACCCUGAGGACGUGAAGGGACAUAUUAAUGCCCGGCCCUUAAAGCCGGGCAAUUGACAUGGGGGAUCGCUAAACCUCCCACCGAGUAACAAUUGGAGGACAAGUCUGGUGAACACUCGCCAGAUGUCGGCUAAAAGACAGGGGCUGGACGGUUAGGUCAGGGCGCGAGCCCUGUUAACUGGCUCCUUAUUUUGGUUGGCAGAAAGUGGGGAUCAGCUCCCACUGUACAGUCGGAAAUUGCAGGGACGGCUAGGUACGGGGGUGGAUACGACUGCUCAGGGAAAGUAACCGAAGGCAGCCAGGGUCUGAUGAUCUUGGGCGUGAUAAUGCCACCCUCAGGGGCCCCUGUCCGGCCACGCCCUCCCUGUAAAGGGAGGGUAACCACCCUAGCCAAUCUGCAGCCAAGCCGCUAUACCCUAUUCCUAACCACCCCAUCUUAGCGCUGGGGCUGGCCAAGGUCACUAGGGAGUGUGGAAGGUUCAGAGACUAUAAUCGACUGGGCGCAAGCUUAAGGAAUAGUCCACUCCCCCCAGUGAUGGGGCCAGCAAAAGUAGGGGAAGUAGCUGUCCCUGAGGCAUGCUGGGUCCUUCGAAGCAUGGGUGGAUUCAAAAUCCCCGUGCGAGGUAUAGGAUGGUACGAUGGGCCAGCACCCGCGGUAAUUCCAGCUCCAGUAGCAUCUACUUAAGUUGUUGCAGUUAAAACGCUCGUAGUCGGAUUCGGCGUGCUCGCCAGCCCUCGGCAAGCCCUUGAGGCGGCCCGUUCCCCCCUAGCGGGGGUCCUGGGUUGCUGCCUGGGUGGACGGGGGUUUGGCGGCGCGCUUCUUGCCCGGGAUCUCCCCACCGGCACUUCAGUGGCCUGGGGCUGUUGAUCGGGCAGUUUCCUUUGACUAAAUGUGAGCGCUCCAAGCAGGCCGCGAAGGCCCUGAAACCUCCAGCAAAGAACAAUAGAACGGGCCCCCUAUUCGGUCGGGAUAGGUUAAACCUAAAGGAUUGGUGUAGCAUGGCACGGAGGAACGAAGGAACCAUCCCACGAAGCGAAGACUUAGGUAUGUUAAGACAGGCAGAAGGGACCACUCCGCGAGGACCGGAGUAACGAAGGGCGAUACAUGGCACCCCAAUUCUGGGCCAAUGAUCAACAGGGGCGAUCGGGGCGGGCCACAUGGUCGGGGUAGGGGUGAAAUCCGUUGAUCCUGACCCGGUGAACUAGAGCGAAAGCAGCCCGCUAGUACGCUUUCUUUGAUCAAGAACGAAAGUCUGGGGAUCGAAGACGAUCAGAUACCGUCGUAGUCCAGACCCUAAACGCUGCCGGCCAUGGAUGGGCUCUCGUCCAUCCCGACCCAGCCCGCACCUUACGGGAAACCAUAAGCGUCUGGGCUCUGGGGGGAGUAUGGUCGCAAGGCUGAAACUUAAAGGAAUUGACGGAAGAGCACACAAGGAGUGGAGCCUGCGGCUUAAUUUGACUCAACACGGGGAAACUCACUAGGGCAAGAGGGGGGAAGGAUUGACAGAUAAGCAGUGCUUUCAUGAUUCCCCCAGUGGUGGUGCAUGGUCGUUCUUAGUUCGUGGAUUGUUUUGUCUGGUCUAUUCCGCUAACGAGCGAGAACCUACUCUCUGAGGUUAGGUGCCUGGGCACGCUAGGCCCCACGAACCGGCCCGCGAGGGCUGGCGAGGGGGGCCCGGCUGAAAACGCCCUUGAAUACGCUCCGGGGAGACCAGUGUCGCUAAGGCGCUGGCGGCAGGUCAAUAACAGGUCAGUGAUGCCCUUAGAUGCUCUAGGCUGCACGCGCGCUACAAUGGGGCAAGCACCGGGCUUUCCUGUGCCUAACGGCGGCGGGGAAUCCGGCAAAAUGCCCCGUGUCCGGGAUAGUAGCGUGUAAAUCGCUUUCUUGAACAAGGAAUUUCUAGUAGUCGCGGGUCACCAGCCCGCGGCGAUUU
rnacentral:rRNA from 1 species